GACGAACGCUGGCGGCGUGCUUAACACAUGCAAGUCGAACGGAAAGGCCCUGCUUUUGUGGGGUGCUCGAGUGGCGAACGGGUGAGUAACACGUGAGUAACCUGCCCUUGACUUUGGGAUAACUUCAGGAAACUGGGGCUAAUACCGGAUAGGAGCUCCUGCUGCAUGGUGGGGGUUGGAAAGUUUCGGCGGUUGGGGAUGGACUCGCGGCUUAUCAGCUUGUUGGUGGGGUAGUGGCUUACCAAGGCUUUGACGGGUAGCCGGCCUGAGAGGGUGACCGGCCCCCAUGGGACUGAGAUACGGCCCAGACUCCUACGGGAGGCAGCAGUGGGGAAUAUUGCACAAUGGGCGGAAGCCUGAUGCAGCAACGCCGCGUGCGGGAUGACGGCCUUCGGGUUGUAAACCGCUUUCGCCUGUGACGAAGCGUGAGUGACGGUAAUGGGUAAAGAAGCACCGGCUAACUACGUG
rnacentral:rRNA from 1 species